rnacentral:lncRNA from 1 species
AGCCUCACCCAGCCCACAGGAAGUAAAAGUGGGGGCAGAGGAGGGCCCUUGGAUGAAGGUCGAGCUCUGUUCUGGGAAUAGUGGGAAUAUCCUUGAGGCAUUCAUCUCCCAUAGACAGUGAAACUCUCCUUGCCUAUGGAAGGAUAUGACAAACGUGAAGAUUUUGCUUUUAAAUGCUGAAGUUUCCAUUUAAUUUUUGCAUCACAUCUUUAGCACUAUUGGACAUCCUAGAAACCUCAUUCACAAGAUUUCAAGUUUGAAGUGAUAGUGUUUGCUACCAGAGCCCCUUUUCUGUCAAAGAAAUUAGAAGCAGGAAGGUUGAUGCAUUCCCCCACAGAAAGAAAAGAGGUCUUUUAGAAUAAUGUGAAACUCACACUCUGCAUGGGGACAGAGCCACUUCCACUUGCUCCAGGCCACAGAGUUCUCUCUCCCGUGACAGUUUCCUUCCUGUGCAAUAGUAUCGCCUCUGGAACUUCCUCACCUGCCACCUGGUGCUGCUACAUGUCCACGUAUUUGGGCUCACAUAUUUUCCCACCGAUAGACAAGAGAUUACCAGAAAAGGGGUGAGGAAUCCAGAGAGAAUGUCUGCAUAAGAAGGAGGGUGGAGAUUUCUUACUGAACUAAAGGCUUCAAGAAUUGGCAAAUACCUGCUCACCCUUUUGAGAUGUUUUUCCAGACUUUUGUAUUUCUGAUGACUGGAUGACUCCACCUGGACCCGAGACUCAUGACUCACCCAGUCCUGUGGCCCCACCCAGAAGUGGACUCAGAGCAAGAGGACCAUUUUCCACACCCCAAUGAGUGCAUCCCCAACCAAUCAGCAGCACCUGUUCCCUAGCCCCCUGACCACCAAACUCUCCUUGAGAAACCGUAGCCUCCAAAUUUUCUGGGAGGCUGAUUUGAGUAAUAAU